UACGUAGGGGGCAAGCGUUGUCCGGAUUUACUGGGCGUAAAGAGCGCGUAGGCGGUCGUUCAAGUCGAGUGUGAAAGCCCCCGGCUCAACUGGGGAGGGUCACUCGAUACUGAUCGACUUGAAGGCAGGAGAGGGAAGCGGAAUUCCCGGUGUAGUGGUGAAAUGCGUAGAUAUCGGGAGGAACACCAGUGGCGAAGGCGGCUUCCUGGCCUGUUCUUGACGCUGAGGCGCGAAAGCUAGGGGAGCAAACGGG
rnacentral:rRNA from 1 species